AGUGAACCGGGAUGAGCUCAAAUUUAAAAUCUGGCGUCUUUCAGGCGUCCGAGUUGUAAUCUAUAGAGGCGUUUUCCGCGCCGGACCGCGUCCAAGUCUCUUGGAAUAGAGUAUCAAAGAGGGUGACAAUCCCGUACUUGACGCGACAACCGGUGCUCUGUGAUACGUUCUCAAUGAGUCGAGUUGUUUGGGAAUGCAGCUCUAAAUGGGUGGUAAAUUCCAUCUAAGGCUAAAUAUUGGCGAGAGACCGAUAGCGAACAAGUACCGUGAGGGAAAGAUGAAAAGCACUUUGGAAAGAGAGUUAAACAGCACGUGAAAUUGUUAAAAGGGAAACGAUUGAAGUCAGUCGUGUGAAAGGUAUUCAGCCGUCUCUGGCGGUGUAUUUGCCUUUCACGGGUCAACAUCAGUUUGAUCCGGUAGAAAAAGGCGGGAGGAAGGUGGCACCCUCGGGUGUGUUAUAGCCUCCUGUCAUAUGUGCCGGACCAGACUGAGGAACGCAGCUUGCCGCAAGGCCGGGGUUCGCCCACGUACAAGCUUAGGAUGUUGACAUAAUGGCUUUAAACGACCCGUCUUGA
rnacentral:rRNA from 1 species